rnacentral:rRNA from 1 species
GACGAACGCUGGCGGCGUGCUUAACACAUGCAAGUCGAACGGAAAGGCCUCUUUCGGGGGGUACUCGAGUGGCGAACGGGUGAGUAACACGUGAGUAACCUGCCCUUGACUUUGGGAUAACUUCAGGAAACUGGGGCUAAUACCGGAUAGGAGCUCCUGCUGCAUGGUGGGGGUUGGAAAGUUUCGGCGGUUGGGGAUGGACUCGCGGCUUAUCAGCUUGUUGGUGGGGUAGUGGCUUACCAAGGCUUUGACGGGUAGCCGGCCUGAGAGGGUGACCGGCCACAUUGGGACUGAGAUAAGGCCCAGACUCCUACGGGAGGCAGCAGGGGGGAAUAUUGCACAAUGGGUGGAAGCCUGAUGCAGCAACGCCGUGUGCGGGAUGACGGCCUUCGGGUUGUAAACCGCUUUCGCUCAUGACGAAGCUUUGUGUGACGGUAGUGGGUAAAGAAGCACCGGCUAACUACGUG